rnacentral:rRNA from 1 species
GACGAACGCUGGCGGCGUGCCUAAUACAUGCAAGUAGAACGCACAGUUUAUACCGUAGCUUGCUACACCAUACACUGUGAGUUGCGAACGGGUGAGUAACGCGUAGGUAACCUGCCUGGUAGCGGGGGAUAACUAUUGGAAACGAUAGCUAAUACCGCAUAAUAUUGAAUAUUGCACGAUAAUUGAUUGAAAGAUGCUAUUGCAUCACUACCAGAUGGACCUGCGUUGUAUUAGCUAGUAGGUGAGGUAACGGCUCACCUAGGCGACGAUACAUAGCCGACCUGAGAGGGUGAUCGGCCACACUGGGACUGAGACACGGCCCAGACUCCUACGGGAGGCAGCAGUAGGGAAUCUUCGGCAAUGGACGAAAGUCUGACCGAGCAACGCCGCGUGAGUGAAGAAGGGUUUCGGAUCGUAAAGCUCUGUUGUAAGAGAAGAACGGGUGUGAGAGUGGAAAGUUCACACUGUGACGGUAUCUUACCAGAAAGGGACGGCUAACUACGUG